rnacentral:lncRNA from 1 species
ACAAAGUAGUUCUCUUGUCAAAUGGAUGUGCUUUGGUUCUUGCCCUGCUGCAUCCAGCUGUAUUCCCGUGGAGUAGCCUAUUGUACAUUAUUUUGUGUUUACAACUAUAAUGUACCUACGUACUGGUAAACUAAGUUACAAUGGCGUUAUUUUGAUCUUGUAUUUUAGCUGCAUGUUAUGCCUUGGAUAUUAUAGUGUUUCUGAAAGUAAAAGAGGCAUGUAGAGUGAGAAUGAAACUCUAGCCCCUACUAGACUCUAGGGCAUUCUGCUACAGGCUACAGGUAACCAGAUAUCAGUGUGGCGGUUAAGCACUUCAUUGUAUCCAUCUACCCUAUCAUGUUACAACUGCUGCACAAAGCAGCCUAUUCAAUACAAAUGAUAAAAUGGUAGGGAAGAUGAAUGGAAAACAACAAUGAUUUAAAACUAUGUUCAUGAUGGUGCCCUAAAGACACUCAAAAUGUCUGUAUGUAUUUGUGUGUGUGUGCUGUAUAUGUGUGUGUGUGCUGUAUAUGUGUGUGAGCAUGUGUUGUUAUCGACAUUGUAUUUGGGAGAUUAAGUUGCAUAAUGAAAAUAAUUGUACAGGAAAAAAUACAAAAUAAUCACAGUACUGUACAGUGUAAACAUCGAAAUCACAUGUAUGCAGGUGUCACACGUGUUUGUCAGAUCUUGAAUAAGGCAUAUGUAGGCCUUAUUGCAGGCUUAUGAACAUGAGCAUCUCCUGUCCUCAGUGCUAGCAGAGAAUUCAUUUGCUGCUUUUUUGUUCUCUUCCAAGUGACCAAGGCCUGGCGUGAGGAGUUGAGAGAGUUGACAGAGAGGGCAGGGCUUUUGGGAGCAGGUGGAAGAGGCAGUGGUGUCGCCUUCUUUCCCCAGUCCAGCUGUGUGUCAGCCCUCGGGGGGUCUAGAGAUGACAGAGAGGGGAACCUUAAACUACAGCUGAUGGUGAUUGAUAUGUUGUGUCAGAUACUGCAAACUGAAUCUAUAGGAGAUGUCCAGCAAUGGAUUCUGACAGCUGGUCAAAGAGGUAAGUGCACUGGACUGCACAUAUACACCAAUCCAUUUAGCAUGCUGUCACUGUUAUCUAGAGCCCUUUUCUAGUUGUUGAAAUCCAGCUGCAGAGCAU